GAUGAACGCUGGCGGCGUGCUUAACACAUGCAAGUCGAACGAUGAAGCCCAGCUUGCUGGGUGGAUUAGUGGCGAACGGGUGAGUAACACGUGAGUAACCUGCCCUUAACUCUGGGAUACGCCUGGGAAACUGGGUUUAAUACCGCAUAGGAGCGUCCACCGCAUGGUGGGUGUUGGAAAGAUUUAUCGGUUUUGGUUGGACUCGCGGCCUUUCAGCUUGUUGGUGUGGUAAUGGCUCACCAAGGCGACGUAGGGUAGCCGGCCUGAGAGGGUGACCGGCCACACUGGUACUGAUGAUCUGCUCAGUCUCCAUCGGGAGGCAGCAGGGGGGGAUGAUGCACGAAGGGCGAAAGCCUGAUGCAGCGACGCCGCGUGUGGGAUGACGGACGUCGGGUUGUAAACCGCUUUCGGUAGGGAAGAUGCGAAAGUGACAGUACUUGCAGAAGAAGCACCGGCUAACGACGUG
rnacentral:rRNA from 1 species